ACGGCAAGAUCAACAUCAGACUGGCGGGGUUGUGUCUUAGACACACUCGCCAACCUAUAUCGAACAUGGUUCUUGCCUUUUACCAGAACCAUCCGGGUGUUGUCUUCGUCAGGUGCGAGGUCCAGUACUGAUUAUUUUUUGGAAUCCUUUUUUUUUUCUUGUUGA